UGCCUUUGCAGAUAGCCGUUCCUUAAGAUAUCAAUUCCUUGCUACCCUUAACUACGCCCUACUCCUUGUCCAUUCAUCUUCAAUCUAGCGAUUCUCUCCAUCUUCCCUCUGAGUCUGCAACUCUCUGAAUUGUCGUCUUCCCUCCCAGGUAUGAGCCCUCCCUUCUCUCCAACGCUUCUUUUGCUAGAUUAUGGGCUUGAAUGUUCUUCGUUCUAUGGAUAAACUUGAAAGUAAAGUCUUGAACCCUGGAUUUUCUGGUCUGUAUGUCAUAAAUAAUCGCCCCAAGAACCGACUUAUCCAUUUCUUUUGAUUGACAUUUUUGAAUGACUGUUCUCGAGUCCCCCUCUAUUGUUACUGUUGUUAACCCCAUUUCUAUUACUAACUUAAUGGUAUCUAAUCCUGCGAGGGCUUCUGCUGCAAACGGGGUGGGGGUAUCCUCAUGUGUAACUGACUUUGAGGCUUUUAAAGCUCCCGUCUGGUCUCAAACUACUAUACCUGAGGCAGAUCUAGCAUUUCUUUUGUCAAAAGCGGCAUCAAACUGAACUGUGGUACCCUCCGUCGCCCCAGUAUAACUGUUGUCCCUUUUGGAAGAAAACCUAAUUUCGAGAACUCCAAACGCACCAUAGCACACAACAAAAGGAUCGACAUUGCUCCAUUGUACUCCUUUCAAAAACCCAGAUAAGCCACUCCUAGAAACUUUGAUUAUCAUGAUCAAUGGUCCAAAAGAGAUUAAUGAGAUUCCAUAUUUAACUGAUUGCAGGACAAAAUCUAAAGAUAUGGUUACUGUCUUUGUAAUACCCUGAAAAUUUUUACAAUAAGAUAUUAUCCUUGAUAUAGUAAAAUAACGAAAUAAAGUGACAUAAAGGGAAA